UCUCCGCUGGUGAACCAGCGGAGGGAUCAUUACCGAGUUAUCAACUCCCAAACCCCUGUGAACAUACCUGAACGUUGCUUCGGCGGGACCGCCCCGGCGCCCACGGCGGCCCGGAACCAGGCGCCCGCCGGAGGACCCAAACUCUUGUUUAAUUUAUAGCGGCAUACUCUGAGUCUCACAAAAAAAAUGAAUCAAAACUUUCAACAACGGAUCUCUUGGCUCUG
rnacentral:misc_RNA from 1 species